GACGAACGCUGGCGGCGUGCUUAACACAUGCAAGUCGAACGGAAAGGCCCUGCUUUUGUGGGGUGCUCGAGUGGCGAACGGGUGAGUAACACGUGAGUAACCUGCCCUUGACUUUGGGAUAACUUCAGGAAACUGGGGCUAAUACCGGAUAGGAGCUCCUGCUGCAUAGUGGGGGUUGGAAAGUUUCGGCGGUUGGGGAUGGACUCGCGGCUUAUCAGCUUGUUGGUGGGGUAGUGGCUUACCAAGGCUUUGACGGGUAGCCGGCCUGAGAGGGUGACCGGCCACAUUGGGACUGAGAUACGGCCCAGACUCCUACGGGAGGCAGCAGUGGGGAAUAUUGCACAAUGGGCGGAAGCCUGAUGCAGCAACGCCGCGUGCGGGAUGACGGCCUUCGGGUUGUAAACCGCUUUCGCCUGUGACGAAGCGUGAGUGACGGUAAUGGGUAAAGAAGCACCGGCUAACUACAUG
rnacentral:rRNA from 1 species